ensembl:misc_RNA 7SK 7SK RNA
UGAUGUGAGGGGGAACUGACAGUAACAUCUGUUACUCCAUUGAUGGCCAGGGUCAGUUUGGUUGAGCUGGCUGGCUAGGCAGGUGUGUCUUCCCUCUCUUACUGUUCCAUGUAUGUCCCUCCUGAGGCUCCAGAGCUGGUUGCCAGCAGAUGACCUUCCCCAACAGAGGAGGACAGUUCUUCCAUCAAGGGUGAACCAGAGCUGUGCUUCCUGCUAGAACUUCUAGAACAAGCUCUACAGAGUAGAAGAGUAGAGGUUCUAGGAUAUAUUAUGGAUUUCAGGGACAGGGCUUUUCUAGCUUGCUUUCUUUG